AUGUCCUUGUAUUGCAGUUCCCAUGACAUCAACAUUUGUUGGAAAUAGCAUUUAAAAACAGAGUUUCAUUAAUUUAUAGUUUUUAACAUAGUAAUUUUGAUUAAAAAAAAUAUGAAUUGAAUUUAUCCUGAGUUUCCAUGGUAAAAUAACCAUUGCUUAUAUGUCUCAUCAUAGCUAAACACUGCCCUGAAGUUUAGAUAGUUUAUGUAUAGAUAGCUUUUGAUUGACACAAUGUAAUCAUGAGUUAUUUCCCUUUAAUUGGUAUAUUGGAAACAAUGGCACAAAUGCCUUGUUUGUAUUAAAUAUUUCAAUUUGGUUAGUCAAAAAGGAAAAGCUAUUAGGUACACCUUUACAUGAUGUCCAAGGGAAAUAACUCAAACAUGAGUUAUUUCCCUUUAAUUGUCAUGUUGGAAACAUUGGCAUAAAUGCCUUGUUUGUAUUAAAUAUUUCAAUUUGGUUAGUCAAAAAGGAAAAGCUAUUAGGUACACCUUUACAUGAUGUCCAAGGGAAAUACCUCAAACAUGAGUUAUUUCCCUUUAAUUGUCAUGUUGGAACAUUGGCACAAAUGCCUUGUUAGUGUUAAAUAUUUCAAUUUGGUUAGUCAAAUAGGAAAGGCAAUCAGCUGGUACAUCUUUGCAUAACAGUUAAGCGAAAUAACUCUUAACUCAAACUAUGUCAUAUUGAAACCUAUUUAUACCAUCACACCUCAUUUAACUUCACAUUUUAACCUUUUUUUUUAUCAUAAAUCUCAAAAACAUUUGAUCACAUUUUGUAUAUAUAUGUAAUAAGUAUGUCCAUGCAGGGUGUUUUAGUAUUUCAAAUGUACAGGGAAUGCAAGUUUGUAGUGUUUUUUUUUUAACUCAUUCACAACCAUGUCUUGGUGAUCAUUGUACAUUUAACAUCAAAUUUUACUUCAUCAGUUGUUCAUAUUUUUUCCUGUUUUUUACCUUGAUUUUAUUUGUCCAUGAAUGUAUAAUAAUGAAUAUCAAUACUUUUCAAAAAGACUUUAUGACAAAAAAAUGUUUUAGUGCCAUUUUUAAAUAUGAUUGUUUUUAAACUGUUGAUUAUUUGACCUUUAUCGUAACAGUGAUUUUAACAUUGUAUAUCAUUUCAUGAUUUCAGACAAGAUUUACUUCCACGUCAUUUGGUCUCUGGUGGGAAUUUGACCUAUUGGCACCCAUACAAUGUCUCUUUAUUUUUAUACCAGGUCAAUCUCAUAUAUUUCAACUAAAGUCCUAUAUAUUUUUAUUUUUAAUUUAAUCCAAGUACAUACAUUUUUACUUUAUUUUUAAUGGUUUUUUUUUAAUUGUUUGGUUGCUGUUUAAUGGAUGUUUAUCCCAUACAUUCUUUAUUUUACAUGCAUUGUGUUUUAUUGAUUUUAUUCAUGAAAUUUGAAUUAAAGGGUUGCUGUUCAUUAAAAUCACUCACCAAUACAAAAUUAAUCAUUAUUUCAUAUUAUGAUAGUUGUUGAUUUGUUGUUUGUUUUGUAAGAAUUGUGUUUGUGUGUAAAACUGUCAGUUUUAAUCAUUUAGAAGUAUAUUAUAUUUAUAUCUACUGAUUUAGACAUUAGAGUACUGUAAAUUCAGAUAUUUUUGUGUGCAUUUAUAAC
rnacentral:lncRNA from 1 species